AUGUGGGAGACAUCAAUGAAAGGUCUUCAAAGCUUGGUCCGGAGGACGACCCCUUCGUCUUUUGCGUAUCUUGGUGAGAAGAUGGGAAGUUCUGUAAAUGACAAGAUGGAUGAACUUGCAUGCUUUGCUCCUGGAAUGUUAGCUUUAGGAUCAUCUGGUUAUAGCCCUGAUGAGGCUCAGAAGUUCUUAUCACUGGCUGAGGAGCUUGCUUGGACUUGCUAUAACUUUUACCAGUCAACACCUACAAAAUUGGCAGGAGAGAACUAUUUUUUUAAUGACGGCCAAGAUAUGAGUGUGGGCACAUCAUGGAACAUAUUAAGGCCAGAGACAGUUGAGUCACUGUUUUACCUCUGGCGUUUAACAGGAAACAAGACAUACCAAGAGUGGGGU
rnacentral:misc_RNA from 1 species